rnacentral:rRNA from 1 species
UACGAAGGGGGCUAGCGUUGCUCGGAAUGACUGGGCGUAAAGGGCGCGUAGGCGGAUGGCACAGUCAGAUGUGAAAUUCCCGGGCUUAACCUGGGGGCUGCAUUUGAUACGUGUUGUCUUGAGUUCGGAAGAGGGUCGUGGAAUUCCCAGUGUAGAGGUGAAAUUCGUAGAUAUCAGGAAGAACACCCGUGGCUAAGGCGGCUCUCUAGUACGGUACUGACGCUGAGACGCGAAAGCGUGGGGAGCGAACAGG